GUUGACUCUCCUUGUGUAAGACAAGGGCUGGGGCAGGCUUAUAAAUAGGGAUCUCCGCUACGCCAUAGAGGACCUACCUUGGACCUAAAUGGAGGAAGAAUGGUGAGUACUUGGAGGGUCCUGCUGCUGCUGGGCCUGGCUACAGCAGUCACAGCUUUACCUAGAAGAAGGCUGACCUACAAGGAUGCUUCAGUCCUGGCUGCAAGGAGGUUUAACAAGAACUUAAAUGAAGGAGCAAAGUAUCGCGUUCUGGUGUCCAGUCUUCCAACUCCAGACUCACUUCUGGAGCUGCCACUGACAUUCAGAAUAAAGGAAACGGAGUGUCCUUCAUCAGGGCAGCAGAACCCAGAAACCUGUGCCUUCAAAGAGAAUGGAUUGGAGAAGAACUGUACAGCGAAGUUCACCAGGCUGACUCCUUUAGGGCUGAGUUCCGUCGAAUGCCAGGAUGUCGGCAAUAACAACAAUUUGGGUAAGCUUUCCCAAUAUGGCUUGCCAAGUGAGAAGGCAGGUUUGUUGCAGAAAUGCAACCUGGGAUUGGGGAUCUCCAGGCUCCUCUCUGCUUUUUCCCAAACUUGCCCAAGCCAUGAGUCUAACAUGAGAAUCCCCUAGAUGUCAGCAUUAAAAAACCUCAUUGGAAAACCCGCAUCUCAGGAGGAAGGAAGCCUUGCCCCACCCAAACCCAACAAACUGAGAGAUGUAAAUCUGGGUUUCCCAAAAAAAGAAAACUAUGGAUGAGUUAUUUAAUUCAGAAGAUUUUUAAAUAUUCCGAUCAAAGGCCUCAUUGGAUUUGGUUACUCAAGGAAAAUGGACUAUCUAAAGCUGAUCAAGUUUGUGGUCAGUGUGAAUUGCCCAAACUUAGCCAGUUUUUUCACCUUUAUGGCAGGCUAUCUAUAGCUGCUACCCUGUCUCUUCCUUUUUGACUGUCUGCUGGAGUCACAUGACUCCAUCUCCACCACUUACCAAUUGGGUGACUUUGAAUUAUUUCUUUGUGUCUCAGUUAUCCCAUCAGUCGAAAAAGGGGGAAGGGUGGACUGGAUAAUUUCUAAGGUUACCUCCAUUCUAACAUUCUGCGAUCGUAAGCUGAAAUCUGUUUCUGUGUAAUGUAAUAAAGAGACUCAGGUUUGGGAAUCA
rnacentral:lncRNA from 1 species